GGCGCAAGAUGGCUAUGGCUUCCACGGGACUCUGAGACAGCACCAACAAAGGGGAGCUUAAGAUGCUUGUGAAAUUUCACAGAUGCACACCAACAAAUAGGACUUGCUCUGCAAUGAACCCAGGGACGUCAUGAAGUGGCACGAGUGAGGCUGCUGGGUAAAUAAGGGGAAUCCCUACCAGAAAACUUCCAAGGCCGUGGAACUAAAAGAAGCUACUGUUAACCCUAGUGGUUAACUUGUGGAGUGGUGAUUGAGGGUUUUCUUUGCCAGAGGAAACUCAGCCAGAAUAGAAUGGAACUAAUUUUAGGGCUGAGCUGCUUCCAGUGUGGAGCCAAGACUUGUCAAGUCUACUCAUGGUGUCUCUCCAGUUUGUCCUAUACUCUCCAUUCUUGCCCUCCUUGCUUAGGACAAUGACCCAUCUCUUCAGUCUUCCCUAGAUAGCUUCCUGUCUCAGUCCUACCUCCCUUCUGUUCCUUCUCACCAAUUACCCUCGAUGGAAUAAACAAAACACACCUAUAAAAA